rnacentral:rRNA from 1 species
UCCGAUUAGCGUUGAACAGGAAACCUUGGUCUUCCGGCGAGGCAGAAAUGCGUAGUCGAUGGGAAACGGGCUAAUAUUCCCGUACUUUGUGUUACUGCGAUGGAGGGACGGAGAAGGCUAGGCAAGCGCGGCGUUGGUUGUCCGCGUUUAAGGUUGUAGGCUGGAAUCUUAGGUAAAUCCGGGAUUCUAAGGCCGAGAGCUGAUGACGAGUUCACUUGUGAAUGAAGUUGUCGAUGCCAUGCUUCCAAGAAAAGCUUCUAAGCAUAGGUAACACAGAACCGUACUCUAAACCGACACAGGUGGUCAGGUAGAGAAUACCAAGGCGCUUGAGAGAACUCGGGUGAAGGAACUAGGCAAAAUGGUACCGUAACUUCGGGAGAAGGUACGCUGCUGACGGUGAUCGGACUUGCUCCGUAAGCUGUUGGCAGUCGAAGUGACCAGGUGGCUGCGACUGUUUAUUAAAAACAUAGCACUCUGCAAACACGUAAGUGGACGUAUAGGGUGUGACGCCUGCCCGGUGCCGGAAGGUUAAUUGAUGGGGUUAGCUUCGGCGAAGCUCUUGAUCGAAGCCCCGGUAAACGGCGGCCGUAACUAUGACGGUCCUAAGGUAGCGAAGUUCCUUGUCGGGUAAGUUCCGACCUGCACGAAUGGCGUAACGAUGGCCACGCUGUCUCCACCCGAGACUCAGUGAAAUUGAAAUCGCAGUUAAGAUGCUGCGUUCCCGCGGCUAGACGGAAAGACCCCGUGAACCUUUACUAUAGCUUGACACUGAACUCUGAGCCUACUUGUGUAGGAUAGCUGGGAGGCUUUGAAGCAGCGACGCCAGUUGUUGUGGAGCCAAUCUUGAAAUACCAGCCUGGUAUGUUUGGGGUUCUAACGCAGGUCCCUGAUCGGGAUCGCGGACAGUGUCUGGUGGGUAGUUUGACUGGGGCGGUCUCCUCCCAAAGAGUAACGGAGGAGCACGAAGGUUGGCUAAUCAUGGUCGGAAAUCAUGAGGUUAGUGUAAUGGCACAAGCCAGCUUGACUGAGAGACUGACACGUCGAUCAGGUACGAAAGUAGGUCAUAGUGAUCCGGCGAUUCUGUAUGGAAGGGUCGUCGCUCAACGGAUAAAAGGUACUCCGGGGAUAACAGGCUGAUACCGCCCAAGAGUUCACAUCGACGGCGGUGUUUGGCACCUCGAUGUCGGCUCA